rnacentral:rRNA from 1 species
AUUGAACGCUGGCGGCAGGCCUAACACAUGCAAGUCGAACGAGGCGCGGACGGGUGAGUCAUGUCUGGGACACUGCCUGAUGGAGGGGGAUCACUACUGGAAGCGGUAGCUAAUACCGCAUACUAUCGGAUGUGCCCAGAUGGGAUUGGCUAGUAGGUGGGGUAACGGCUCACCUAGGCGACGAUCCCUAGCUGGUCUGAGAGGAUGACCAGCCACACGGGAACUGAGACACGGUCCAGACUCCGACGGGAGGCAGCAGUGGGGAAUAUUGCACAAUGGGCGCAAGCCUGAUGCAGCCAGGCCGCGUGUAUGAAGAAGGCCUUCGGGUUGUAAAGCACUUUCAGCGGGGAGGCGUUACCCGCAGAAGAAGCACCGGCUAACUCCGUGCCAGCAGCCGCGGUAAUAC